rfam:Chlamydomonas reinhardtii strain CC-503 cw92 mt+ CHLREscaffold_53 genomic scaffold, whole genome shotgun sequence.
GAUCUCGUGCCGGAGUGGUCUAACGGGUGGGUCUCAAGGACUUGAGAAUUCCCAUGUUGCAAAACGCGUGGGUUCGAACCCCACCGAGGUCA